rnacentral:pre_miRNA from 1 species
AUGUUUGAAGAUGCAACAUCAUCAAGAUUCACAAAAUUUGAAGGGGGAAUAAGUAUAUAUUAAAGAUAUUAAGGGUGAAUACUAUAUGUAUAUAUAUAUAUAUAUAUAUAUAUUUCAAAUCUCUUCUCUUUGGGAAUCUUGAUGAUGCUGCAUCAUCUAACAU